CAAUAGCGUAUAUUAAAGUUGUUGCAGUUAAAAAGCUCGUAGUCGAACUUCGUCCGGCGAGCUGUGAACCCGUCAGCUUUGCUGAUGAGCGUUCACGUGCUCACGGAUUCCUCGUCUUUGUGCCUUGGUGCGACUUGUCGUGCUGGGGGUCAACACAGGGCGUAGCCACUUUGACACAAUCGGAGCGCUUCAAGCAGUCUUUUGACUUGAACAUUUCAGCAUGGAAUGGCAAGAUAGAUCACGGAUCUGAUUUUGCCGGUUUUUUAGAUUCAUGAGAUGAUUGAGAAGAGCGGUUGGGGGCGUUAGUAUUUAUCGGCCAGAGGUGAAAUUCUUGGAUUCGAUAAAGACUACCUGAAGCGAAAGCGCUCGCCAUGGACGUUUNUUUUGA
rnacentral:rRNA from 1 species